rnacentral:rRNA from 1 species
UACGGAGGGGGCUAGCGUUGUUCGGAAUUACUGGGCGUAAAGCGCACGUAGGCGGCUUUGUAAGUUAGAGGUGAAAGCCCCGGGGCUCAACUCCGGAAUUGCCUUUAAGACUGCAUCGCUAGAAUUGUGGAGAGGUAAGUGGAAUUCCCGAGUGUAGAGGUGAAAUUCGUAGAUAUUCCGGAAGAACACCCAGUGGCGAAGGCGACUUACUGGACACAUA